rnacentral:lncRNA from 13 species
UCAUUGUUCAGUUUUGAAAACCUGGGACUAUGGAUUUCAAAUGCCUUGUAAACUCUAAUAAUUUUUGUCUUACUGUCUGUCUGCAUUGCAGUUACUAAAUAUAUGAUCAUCAGAGUCUUAAAUGCUGCUGCACAUCCAUUGUUAAACUAGAUAAUUUACAGAUGAUCAUUCAAUAAGAAGGAUGAGAAGGUUUCCUAAAGAGGUCAAAAUAACUACCAUGAAAAACUCAAUAUGCUGUUGCAACUUAGUAAAUAACAAUGCAGAUCUGGACUGAUCCAUGUCCCAGGAAAUAAUGGUAUUUCUUCCAGCUUGAGUUGAAGAUUGGCUGAAAGAAAGGAGACUGAGAAAUGAAGCAGGCCGGGCACCGUGGCUCACGCCUGUAAUCCCAACACUUUGGGAGGCCGAGGCAGGUGGAUCUUGAGGUCAAGAAACCCUUAUUGUUCUAACACCAACUUAUUUAGAGAAUACAAGGAAGGCUCCUUAAAGGGAGAUCAUACAGACAGACCAUCUCUGUCACCUUCAUUUGGGUUGGAAAUAAAACAUGACAGCUGAAGUGUGAGCAAUGCUUCUGGGCUAUUAGGUUGAAGCCAUGUGGCAGAGCAAUGGGAUGGCGUUUCACUCUUGUUGCCCAAGCUGGAGUGCAAUGGUGUGAUUUCGGUUCACUGCAACCUCUACCUCCCAGGUUCAAGCGACUCUCCUGCCUCAGUCUCCUGAAUAGCUGAGAUUACAGGCACCCACCACCACACCCAGCAAAUUUUUGUAUAUUUAGUAGAGACAGGGUUUCAACAUGUUGGUCAGGCUGAUCUCAAACUCCUGACCUCAAGUGAUCUGCCCACCUUAGCAUCCCAAAGUGUUAGGAUUACAGGCAUGAGCCACCGGCUCCCGGCCCCAAAUGUGAAUUUAACCUCAAGCAUCAAACUGUUGUAUACAUUACAUUGAAAAGCUCCUCACAGCUGUUUCCCCAGAAAACCUAGUUUUCUUUUCAAAUGUUCCCUCAUUUUUGCAUUCUAACCUCUAAAAUGUUUCAAUCUUUUAUGAUAUAUUGAGUCUUAUAAGGUUAUAAAUUAAUUUUUUAAGUUUGAUUUUUACCCUGGAAAAGAGAUUUUACAUGAUUCAUAAUAAAUAAUUAGUAGGGAGGUAGCCA